GGACAGGCCCUUAUGCAAUUUCUCUAUUUAUGACUACUUACAAUGUAUCCCAAUAGCGGCUGGUUUUUUGGAGUUUUUUCCUUGUUUUAGGAUUCUCCCAGCACCGAUAUCUGAAGGCUGGAGGGAAAAGUCCAAGUAAGUAUUACAAAUUUACCACACUUUAACUACGUUCUUUUUCAUUGCAGGUUUUAACUUACGGGUUUCCUAAAUCAGAUCACACCGCACCACACUCCGAGCCUUCGGCUAAUUAGAAUUACAGACAAAUUAGAUUGCACUUAGUAAUAUAUGUAAUAUAUGCACAUCAA